rnacentral:sRNA from 1 species
UGCAUGGAUAUGAAGCAGUGAAGGAAGCCCUGAUUGAUCUUGGAGAGGAGUUUUCUGGAAGAGGCAUUUUCCCACUGGCUGAAAGAGCUAACAGAGGAUUUGGAAUUGUUUUCAGCAAUGGAAAGAAAUGGAAGGAGAUCCGGCGUUUCUCCCUCAUGACGCUGCGGAAUUUUGGGAUGGGGAAGAGGAGCAUUGAGGACCGUGUUCAAGAGGAAGCCCGCUGCCUUGUGGAGGAGUUGAGAAAAACCAAGGCCUCACCCUGUGAUCCCACUUUCAUCCUGGGCUGUGCUCCCUGCAAUGUGAUCUGCUCCAUUAUUUUCCAUAAACGUUUUGAUUAUAAAGAUCAGCAAUUUCUUAACUUGAUGGAAAAGUUGAAUGAAAACGUCAAGAUUUUGAGCAGCCCCUGGAUCCAGAUCUGCAAUAAUUUUUCUCCUAUCAUUGAUUACUUCCCGGGAACUCACAACAAAUUACUUAAAAACGUUGCUUUUAUGAAAAGUUAUAUUUUGGAGAAAGUAAAAGAACACCAAGAAUCGAUGGACAUGAACAACCCUCAGGACUUUAUUGAUUGCUUCCUGAUGAAAAUGGAGAAGGUAAAAAGUAAACAAAAGCUUAGUUAUGUGACUGCUUGUGAAUUUGUGAUUUGUUGACUAGUUCUGUGUUUACUAAGGAUGUUUAACUGGUCAAACAGUAAUGCUUGAGAAGCACUUUAAGUUUUUAUUGUAUGAAUGAAUAACAAAAUAGACCACUAGCUAGACUAAUAAAGAAGAAAAAAGAGAAGAAUCAAAUAGACACAAUAAAAAUGAUAAAGGGGAGAUCACCACUGAGCCCACAGAAAUACAAA